GACGAACGCUGGCGGCGUGCUUAACACAUGCGAGUCGAACGGAAAGGCCCUGCUUUUGUGGGGUGCUCGAGUGGCGAACGGGUGGGUAACACGUGAGUAACCUGCCCUUGACUUUGGGAUAACUUCAGGAAACUGGGGCUAAUACCGGAUAGGAGCUCCUGCUGCAUGGUGGGGGUUGGAAAGUUUCGGCGGGUGGGGAUGGACUCGCGGCUUAUCAGCUUGUUGGUGGGGUAGUGGCUUACCAAGGCUUUGACGGGUAGCCGGCCUGGGAGGGUGACCGGCCACAUUGGGACUGAGAUACGGCCCAGACUCCUACGGGAGGCAGCAGUGGGGAAUAUUGCACAAUGGGCGGAAGCCUGAUGCAGCAACGCCGCGUGCGGGAUGACGGCCUUCGGGUUGUAAACCGCUUUCGCCUGUGACGAAGCGUGAGUGACGGUAAUGGGUAAAGAAGCACCGGCUAACUACGUG
rnacentral:rRNA from 1 species